rnacentral:rRNA from 1 species
GGUAUGAUGCCCCUGAUCCGCCUCUUCGGAGCGUGAGUGUCGGUGCGGCGUCUGCCAUCUUUGUAGUUCCUUGUCCACUCUUGCUAGUCGCCUUCACUGGUUGGCUAUGCAAAGUGGGUUCCACGGGUGCUACAUAUUUUACUUUGAAAAAAUUAGAGUGUUUAAAGCAGGCUUUUGCUAUGAAUACAUUAGCAUGGAAUAAUAAUAUAGGACUUCGGUUCUAUUUUGUUGGUUUCUAGUACUGAAGUA